GCACUAGGGAUGAUAACGUUGCUUUAGCAACACUCGGCUACGAACCGAGCGGUCGGAGGUUCGAAUCCUCCCGGAUGCACCA
rnacentral:tRNA from 1 species